AGGAUGAACGCUGGCGGCGUGCCUAACACAUGCAAGUCGAACGGACCCUUCGGGGUUAGUGGCGCACGGGUGAGGAACACGUAGCUUACCUGCCCUCUACACUGAGAUAACCCUGCGAAAGCAGGGCUAAUAUCGGAUAAGCUCACGAGGAAUAGUAGCCUUGUGAGAAAAGCUCCGGC
rnacentral:rRNA from 1 species